CUAGAGAAAAGCUGGAUCGAGAGCUCACAACCUAUCGGUUGUCACAAGCGGCACAAGCGGAUGGGUCUGUAGCUCAGUCGGUUAGAGCAUCGUCUUGAUAAGGCGAGGGUCGUUGGUUCGAUUCCAACCAGACCCACCAGCGUAUCGGCGGAAGGCGGCGGAGAGUGAUUGAGG
rnacentral:tRNA from 1 species